rnacentral:rRNA from 1 species
CCUACGGGGUGCUGCAGCGGGGAAUAUUGCACAAUGGGCGCAAGCCUGAUGCAGCCAUGCCGCGUGUGUGAAGAAGGCCUUCGGGUUGUAAAGCACUUUCAGCGGGGAGGAAGGCGGUGAGGUUAAUAACCUCAUCGAUUGACGUUACCCGCAGAAGAAGCACCGGCUAACUCCGUGCCAGCAGCCGCGGUAAUACGGAGGGUGCAAGCGUUAAUCGGAAUUACUGGGCGUACAGCGCACGCAGGCGGUCUGUCAAGUCGGAUGUGAAAUCCCCGGGCUCAACCUGGGAACUGCAUUCGAAACUGGCAGGCUAGAGUCUUGUAGAGGGGGGUAGAAUUCCAGGUGUAGCGGUGAAAUGCGUAGAGAUCUGGAGGAAUACCGGUGGCGAAGGCGGCCCCCUGGACAAAGACUGACGCUCAGGUGCGAAAGCGUGGGGAGCAAACAGGAUUAGAUACCCGAGUAGUC